GAUUGUUGGCUUCUUUCCAAAGAAAAUUUGUAUUGAAUUUUUUCAUUCAUUACAAAUUUUGAAAAUGUUAUAAAAUCAGCGCAACUUCCAUGGUAUUUUGAAAAAUCGCUGCUAAUCAAUACGGAUUUCAGUCACUUUCACUUCACUAGAAGAUCGGACAUCAAUAGGAUUUGGGCUCCAUCGUCAAACGAACUUAGCAAAUAUUACUUUGGAAUAGAUCUAAAAAAACUGCUUUCCACCAUUGAGAUUAGUCAUGUCAUUGAUCUCAAGUAACAAUGACAGCUUGUUCUUGAAGAAUAGUGGAUGAAAAAUUGCCAUUGUAAAGAAUUUUUAAUUAUUUCUCUUUAAAAAGAAAAUGUGAAGGUAUGAUAUUUGACCAAACAAGGUAUGUACCUUCUUAAUUAGUUACAAGAGUUUUUUUUGCAUUAUUAUGGCAAUGUGAAGGAUAAGCUGUAUUUUUUAUUUUGUAUUUGGUGAUGUGUAAAUGGAAAAGUUCAAGUGGUCAACACAAAGGCAGAGUGCAUUCACAAAUACAAGGAGUGGGAAUUAUGCAUCACUCACCUAAGAGCUCAAAAUAAAAAAAAAUAUGCCAUGACAUUUUGAAUAUUUUUUAGGAGCAUAGGUAUUUCCUGCUCUUUUUUUCUUAAAUUGUCAAAGUCUUAUACCAUGCUGCCUUGUGGAUUUUAUUACAAUGUUAAACAUAUAAGAGUGGCAUAUUUACUGAGAAAGUUGUAGAGGCACUCUUGAGCUUAAAUUCUACAUUACCUGACAAUAUACAAUUGUAUAUUAACUAUAAAUAUCAAUUUAUUUUGACAAAUUGGUUUUUGUAUAAAAGAUCCAAAUUGCUCAUCAUAUAUCUGAAUUUCUAAUAAAUAAUUAAAAAC